AUUGAACGCUGGCGGCAUGCUUUACACAUGCAAGUCGAACGGUAACAGGUCUUCGGAUGCUGACGAGUGGCGAACGGGUGAGUAAUGCAUCGGAACGUGCCCAGUCGUGGGGGAUAACGCAGCGAAAGCUGUGCUAAUACCGCAUACGAUCUAUGGAUGAAAGCGGGGGAUCGCAAGACCUCGCGCGAUUGGAGCGGCCGAUGUCAGAUUAGCUAGUUGGUGGGGUAAAGGGCCCACCAAGGCGACGAUCUGUAGCUGGUCUGAGAGGACGACCAGCCACACUGGGACUGAGACACGGCCCAGACUCCUACGGGAGGCAGCAGUGGGGAAGUUUUGGACAAUGGACGCAAGUCUGAUCCAGCCAUUCCGCGUGCAGGACGAAGGCCUUC
rnacentral:rRNA from 1 species